GUUUGUUCCACUUUCCUGAUGAUCUUCCCUUCAUGCCGAUCUACAGAGCACUGGGCAGCUUAUCCCAUCGCCUUCUGCAUAAUACAUCAUCCCAAAAUGACUGUGAGAAGGGGAUCAGCUGUCCGGGAGCUCUCGAAACAUAACAGGAAGUGGGGAAUCUGGUGCAGAGGCUCUACUAGCGUCCUGGAGGAGCCAAGGACCCAGCGAUCAGGACAGAGGGAGGAGGGAGUAGCACCACAGGCGAACCUAGUCCAUUUGGCUCCGCCUUCCCCUCCCUACCUGGCCCCACCUUCUCUGUCUGGCUCCGCCUCUGCCUGACCCCAACAUUCCCCGGUUGCAUUCGUCCCAUUCCUCACCCACCCUGCCCGCCAUCUGAACCACUGACAGGUCACUCUUUUGUUUCUCCCAAUAGCACUAAUCUCACAUAAAUGCAGCCUGCUUGGGGGACAGCACAUGAACUGGCAUUAAGCACCAACUGGACACUGAACCGCAGAUGGCGGUUAAAGGGUGACCGUUAAAGGGUCAUUGUUACCACUGUAGUGCUGCUCACUGACACCCCCUGCUUGUGGGGUUGUGUCGGAAUGCAGAACACAAAACAACCAGAAGGCAGUGACAUAAUGUCAACCUGCAGGAGCCGGGGACGCCGUGGCCUCAGCGAUGAAUGGUGGGAUGUGGCAGGGCCCACAAUGCCCGGGAGCGGCACAGGAAGUCACCCUCCACUGCCACAGGAAACGGCACCAGAGCCACCGUCUCGCCGCAUCGCCAGCCGGCUCCCUGCUCCCUCACCACGCCCUCUCUAGAAGUUUAAUCCUGCACCUUCAAACCAUCACCCACGUUCUCAUCUCUGGGGCGAUUCGGACGCAAAACAGGCUUCAGCCGAUUACCACUGAAUUCCCAGCCACCCUCAGGCUCACGUACCAAGCGGAGUCCUCUUCAGGGGGCAACAGCUUGGGAACGUUCCGGCAAUGCUCCGCCAGCUGCUACGGGGGGCGCUGCCUUUGGCAAGCUCAGAAGCGCGGUGUCCAAGUCAUGUCCCGGAAAAACAGAGAAGCACACACCCACGCCUGGAGCGGGGGGGGGGGUCAGCCUGUCAGGUGGCAGGGCGAGGAAGGAGGGCGUGGUCAGCCUGCAGAGAACAGGUACCGACCAGCUGCUGGUGCUGCUGUUUGUUUGGACUGUGGAGCGAGCCUGGUGCAUUGUGGGUACUGCCUCUGUUUAUGUUUAUAUAGGUCUGUGCUGUAUCAGUGUGAGGCCAGACUGACUCACCAAUUACACACACACACACAGGCACACAUAAAAACACACUGCUCUAAUCACACACAGACAAAACGACUUCUGCAGUAGACAAAACUCUACGGUGAUUCAUUCCACUGAAAAGAGCACAGAUGAUGUAACGCAUUCUGCUAUUUGGGACUCAACCGAGGGUCUCCAUGUCGGACAAACGUAUCCCUGGGUUUGGGUUUGGCAGCCAGGCCUUCCAGUCAUGGUUAGCUGGGUGUCAGUCAGUUAGAUGUGAGGAAAAACACAGCAUUUUUGUAAUUGUUAACAUUGUGGGGACCAGAUUUUCUCACAACGUGAUAAAAAAUCUGUCACCUUUUAUC